CCCUUGCCCCCCAUCACCCCUCUAACCCCCACGUUCACAGGCUCGGUCUUAUAGUGGGGGCUGCAUCACGCUGGGGGGAGAGGGGCGGGAGACUUCCGGCACCUCAGAGGGCUCCGUGUGCCGCCCUGGGUGCUGAGGGACCAUCGUGACGUCACAAGGGCGUGGGCCAAUGGGAAGGCGAGGCCGCGGUGACGUCACGGCGGUGGGAUCAAGGCGGGACAAAGCGGUGUUACGAAGACGGAGGGGUGGAGGAGGUAGGUGGAGGUGGAGGGGGAGGGGGAGGUGGAUGGCAUGAAUGUGAGAAGGGAAUGUGUGAGCGAGGCGGUGUGUGGCAUGACUGACACGGGACCCAAGGCCACGAGGGGAGGAUGUGUCAACGGGUCAACGGUGGAAUAGUGAAAUGGGAGAAGGAGAGCGAGGCAGGAUGGGGGGAAGAGGAAGAGAAUGGGGAGCCGCGCAGGAUGGGGUUUAAAUGGACUGGUGACUGGGGAGGAUAGGGGCAAGAGGAACCGGUGGGGAGGAGGAUGUGGAGAGGAUGGGGUGACGGGGAGAAUGUAGAAAGGACAGGGCAGGAUGUGAGGAAGAAGAAAAGAAUGGGGUGACGCUCAGGAUGGGGGGAUGUGAAAGAUGUGGCGCUGGGAAGGAUGGGGCAAUGGGGAUGAUGUGGAAAGGAUGGGGUGAUGAGGAUAAUGUGGGUAGGAUGGGGCAGUGGAGAUGUGGACAAGAGGAAGAAAGGGGAAAGAACAGAAGGAUGUGAGGAGAGGAACAUAUGUGAGGACUCAAGAACAGGGACAAGAACAGAUGGUAAAGAGAACAGGACGAGGACGUGUAUAAGUAAAAUGACCAACAAAAAUAUAAUGUAAGUAAGGCUAAUCAAAAGGUAAAUAAUAUAGUAGAAGAAGUAGAAGAAACCUAAAUAACGAUAAGAAAAAUGAAGAAAACGGACUUACUCUUUUACUUAAUACAGUAUAAGCCGACAAGGUGAACAGGCAGGUGUGUGGUAGCGUACAGGUGUGUGGUAGCGUACAGGUGUGUGGUAGCGUAUUUGUGAGUGGUAGCGUACAGGUGUGUGGUAGCGUACAGGUGUGUGGUAGCGUACAGGUGAGUGGUAGCGUACAGGUGUGUGGUAGCGUACAGGUGUGUGGUAGCGUACAGGUGUGUGGUAGCGUACAGGUGUGUGGU